AUUUUGGACAAUGGGGAAACCCUGAUCCAGCCAUCCCGCGUGUAUGAUUAAGGGCGUCGGUUUGUAAAGUACUUUUGGCAGAGAAGAAAAGGUAUCUCCUAAUACGAGAUAAUGCUGACGGUAUCUGCCGAAUAAGCACCGGCUGACUACGUUCCACAAGCCGCGGUAAUACUUAGGGUUCAAGCGUUAAUAGGAAUUACGGGGCGUAAAGCGUGUGUAGGCGGUUCGGAAAGAAAGAUGUGAAAUCCCAGGGCUCAACCUUGGAACUGCAUUUGUAACUGCCGAGCUAGAGUAUGUCAGAGGGGGGAAGAAUUCCACGUGUAGCAGUGAAAUGCGUAGAUAUGUGGAGGAAUACCGAUGGCGAAGGCAGCCCCCUGGGAUAAUACUGACGCUCAGACACGAAAGCGUGGGGAGCAAACA
rnacentral:rRNA from 1 species